rnacentral:lncRNA from 1 species
UCCCAGCACCCCACCCCCCGGUCCUGCCCCAGCUCAUACUUCUUGGGCCUGGAUGACUGCAGGUACCAGCUGGGUAGUGGGGAGGCCCGCCUGGUCUCUGAGGACCCCAUCAAUGACGGCGAGUGGCACCGGGUGACAGCACUGCGGUAAGGGACCCUGCCGGGCACUCGGGAUGGGGCCCAGCGUUCUGGAGUGGGGCAGGACGCCCCCUACCAUGGGCAGAGAGGCAGGUAUUGAGCUCUGUGGAGACAGAACUUGAAGCCAGGGGAGGGGAGAACCCACCAGCCAGGGCUCGGGCUUCCAUCUCGGACUGAACUCCGCUGGGGGCAGGCGAGUGCCCCAGGAGUGGGAGGAAACCUGGGUGCAGAAAUGAGGAAGCUGUGUUUGUGGGGCCCGAUCUCUCGUUCAGCGGGGGAAAGAAAGAGCUUGGGAAACAGGGACAGACUUCUGAGUCUGGAGUCUCGAUAUCAGAGGGAGGGGACUCUGUCGUGGGGCCGGGGAGGACCAGGAAGUUUGUGGAAAGGGGCCUGACCCAGUUCCACUGCAGGGAGGGCCGCAGAGGUUCCAUCCAAGUCGACGGUGAGGAGCUGGUCAGCGGCCGGUCCCCAGGUCCCAACGUGGCAGUCAACGCCAAGGGCAGCGUCUACAUCGGCGGAGCCCCUGACGUGGCCACGCUGACCGGGGGCAGAUUCUCCUCAGGCAUCACAGGCUGUGUCAAGAACCUGGUGCUGCACUCGGCCCGACCCGGCGCCCCGCCCCCACAGCCCCUGGACCUGCAGCACCGCGCCCAGGCCGGGGCCAACACACGCCCCUGCCCCUCGUAGGCACCUGCCUGCCCC